rnacentral:rRNA from 1 species
GACGAACGCUGGCGGCGUGCUUAACACAUGCAAGUCGAACGGAAAGGCCCUGCUUUUGUGGGGUGCUCGAGUGGCGAACGGGUGAGUAACACGUGAGUAACCUGCCCUUGACUUUGGGAUAACUUCAGGAAACUGGGGCUAAUACCGGAUAGGAGCUCCUGCUGCAUGGUGGGGGUUGGAAAGUGUCGGCGGUUGGGGAUGGACUCGCGGCUUAUCAGCUUGUUGGUGGGGUAGUGGCUUACCAAGGCUUUGACGGGUAGCCGGCCUGAGAGGGUGACCGGCCACAUUGGGACUGAGGUACGGCCCAGGCUCCUACGGGAGGCAGCAGUGGGGAAUCUUGCACAAUGGGCGGAAGCCUGAUGCAGCAACGCCGCGUGCGGGAUGACGGCCUUCGGGUUGUAAACCGCUUUCGCCUGUGACGAAGCGUGAGUGACGGUAAUGGGUAAAGAAGCACCGGCUAACUACGUG